rnacentral:rRNA from 1 species
GAUGAACGCUGGCGGUAUGCUUAACACAUGCAAGUCGAACGGUCACUUCGGUGAUAGUGGCGGACGGGUGAGUAACGCGUGAGAAUCUGUCUUCAGGUCGGGGACAACAGUUAGAAAUGACUGCUAAUACCGGAUGUGCCUUUGGGUGAAAGAUUUAUUGCCUGAAAAAGAGCUCGCGUCAGAUUAGCUAGUAGGUGGUGUAAGAGACUACCUAGGCUCCGAUCUGUAGCUGGUCUGAGAGGACGAUCAGCCACACUAGAACUGAGACACGGUCCAGACUCCUACGGGAGGCAGCAGUGGGGAAUUUUCCGCAAUGGGCGAAAGCCUGACGGAGCAAUACCGCGUGAGGGACGAAGGCUUUUGGGUCGUAAACCUCUUUUCUCAAGGAAGAUGAUGACGGUACUUGAGGAAUAAGCAUCGGCUAACUCUGUG